GUAUUAGAGGUACAUGUAAUAAAAUUAGAAUGAUACAGAGAAGAUUAGCAUAGCCCCUGCACAAGAAUGUCAAGCAAAUUCAUGAAGAAUUCUACAUUUAU